GAUGAACGCUGGCGGCGUGCCUAAUACAUGCAAGUCGAGCGAACGGACGAGAAGCUUGCUUCUCUGAUGUUAGCGGCGGACGGGUGAGUAACACGUGGAUAACCUACCUAUAAGACUGGGAUAACUUCGGGAAACCGGAGCUAAUACCGGAUAAUAUUUUGAACCGCAUGGUUCAAAAGUGAAAGACGGUCUUGCUGUCACUUAUAGAUGGAUCCGCGCUGCAUUAGCUAGUUGGUGAGGUAACGGCUUACCAAGGCAACGAUGCAUAGCCGACCUGAGAGGGUGAUCGGCCACACUGGAACUGAGACACGGUCCAGACUCCUACGGGAGGCAGCAGUAGGGAAUCUUCCGCAAUGGGCGAAAGCCUGACGGAGCAACGCCGCGUGAGUGAUGAAGGUCUUCGGAUCGUAAAACUCUGUUAUUAGGGAAGAACAUAUGUGUAAGUAACUGUGCACGUCUUGACGGUACCUAAUCAGAAAGCCACGGCUAACUACGUGCCAGCAGCCGCGGUAAUACGUAGGUGGCAAGCGUUAUCCGGAAUUAUUGGGCGUAAAGCGCGCGUAGGCGGUUUUUUAAGUCUGAUGUGAAAGCCCACGGCUCAACCGUGGAGGGUCAUUGGAAACUGGAAAACUUGAGUGCAGAAGAGGAAAGUGGAAUUCCAUGUGUAGCGGUGAAAUGCGCAGAGAUAUGGAGGAACACCAGUGGCGAAGGCGACUUUCUGGUCUGUAACUGACGCUGAUGUGCGAAAGCGUGGGGAUCAAACAGGAUUAGAUACCCUGGUAGUCCACGCCGUAAACGAUGAGUGCUAAGUGUUAGGGGGUUUCCGCCCCUUAGUGCUGCAGCUAACGCAUUAAGCACUCCGCCUGGGGAGUACGACCGCAAGGUUGAAACUCAAAGGAAUUGACGGGGACCCGCACAAGCGGUGGAGCAUGUGGUUUAAUUCGAAGCAACGCGAAGAACCUUACCAAAUCUUGACAUCCUUUGACAACUCUAGAGAUAGAGCCUUCCCCUUCGGGGGACAAAGUGACAGGUGGUGCAUGGUUGUCGUCAGCUCGUGUCGUGAGAUGUUGGGUUAAGUCCCGCAACGAGCGCAACCCUUAAGCUUAGUUGCCAUCAUUAAGUUGGGCACUCUAAGUUGACUGCCGGUGACAAACCGGAGGAAGGUGGGGAUGACGUCAAAUCAUCAUGCCCCUUAUGAUUUGGGCUACACACGUGCUACAAUGGACAAUACAAAGGGCAGCGAAACCGCGAGGUCAAGCAAAUCCCAUAAAGUUGUUCUCAGUUCGGAUUGUAGUCUGCAACUCGACUACAUGAAGCUGGAAUCGCUAGUAAUCGUAGAUCAGCAUGCUACGGUGAAUACGUUCCCGGGUCU
rnacentral:rRNA from 1 species